UCCCUGUGUACCUGAGGCCUUCUGAUGGUCUGACCACAUACCCAUGUGGUCUGGCUUACCUUCCAUAGGGGCUGGCUGCAAGGUGGUAGCUGAAUGCUCAGUAGAAGUCUCUAGAAAUUGGGUCUGGUUCCACUUGCUCCUGUGCAGUGCAGAGUGAGAAGAACAAUGUGAAAACAACGAGAAGUGAAACAUUCCAACACAAGAGCCCACAAGAACUACCCUCAGCAUUAGCCUGGUGUGGU